rnacentral:lncRNA from 1 species
CUAUAAGACAGUAACUGUCAUAGUCACACUAAUGACUCCACUAGUAAUAGAAUGGCUAGCCAUGAUGUCAAUCAGAGUUUCCAUCAGCUUGAGUUUCUGGAUCAGAAAUGCAGAGAGGAAGGGAAGCAGGAAGGAAUAGAAGAGACACCAAACAGAUUCAUCAGGGGGUGCCAGAUGUUCCUACGGCUUAUUCCGUCCUACCUGGCUUCCCAGUUGUGGACCCAGAGCCUGAGAGUGAUCCCCAUGCCCACCACCAGACAUAUGUUGGUGAGCUCUGGGGACAGUGACCACACAGAGGUGUCAGCUUCCCUCGACUUCUAUGUGAGAUUCCCUUCUGUGUCCUACUGUCCCAUCUGGGCAGAUGUAGCAACUUAGUCUACUCGGCUGCUGUGACAAAAUACCAUAGACUGUAUCUAUUAAAAAACG